rnacentral:rRNA from 1 species
GCAUAUCAUAAGCGGAGGAAAAGAAACCAACAGGGGAUUGCCUCAGUAACGGCGAGUGAAGCGGCAACAGCUCAAAUUUGAAAUCUGGCCCUCUCAGGGUCCGAGUUGUAAUUUGGAGAAGAUGCUUCGGGUGUGGCCCCGGUCUAAGUUCCUUGGAACAGGACGUCACAGAGGGUGAGAAUCCCGUACGUGGCCGGUGGCCGCGCCCAUGUGAAGCUCUUUCGACGAGUCGAGUUGUUUGGGAAUGCAGCUCAAAAUGGGUGGUAUAUUUCAUCUAAAGCUAAAUAUUGGCCAGAGACCGAUAGCGCACAAGUAGAGUGAUCGAAAGAUGAAAAGCACUUUGGAAAGAGAGUUAAACAGUACGUGAAAUUGUUGAAAGGGAAGCGCUUGCAACCAGACUUGCGCGCGGCCGAUCAUCCGGUGCUCGCACCGGUGCACUCGACCGCGCGCAGGCCAGCAUCGGUUUGGGCGGUUGGAUAAAGGCCCCAGGAAUGUGGCUCUCUUCGGGGGAGUGUUAUAGCCUGGGGCGCAAUGCAGCCCGCCCGGACCGAGGACCGCGCUUCGGCUAGGAUGCUGGCGUAAUGGUUGUCAGCGACCCGUCUUGAAACACGGACCAAGGAGUCUAACAUCUAUGCGAGUGUUUGGGUGCUAAACCCAUACGCGUAAUGAAAGUGAACGGAGGUGAGAACCCUUAAGGGUGCAUCAUCGACCGAUCCUGAUGUCUUCGGAUGGAUUUGAGUAAGAGCAUAGCUGUUGGGACCCGAAAGAUGGUGAACUAUGCCUGAAUAGGGUGAAGCCAGAGGAAACUCUGGUGGAGGCUCGCAGCGGUUCUGACGUGCAAAUCGAUCGUCAAAUUUGGGCAUAGGGGCGAAAGACUAAUCGAACCAUCUAGUAGCUGGGUCUGCGA